rnacentral:rRNA from 1 species
UGGGGAAUAUUGGACAAUGGGCGCAAGCCUGAUCCAGCCAUGCCGCGUGAGUGAUGAAGGCCCUAGGGUUGUAAAGCUUUUUCACCGGUGAAGAUAAUGACGGUAACCGGAGAAGAAGCCCCGGCUAACUUCGUGCCAGCAGCCGCGGUAAUACGAAGGGGGCGAGCGUUGUUCGGAGUUACUGGGCGUAAAGCGCACGUAGGCGGACUUUUAAGUCAGGGGUGAAAUCCCGGGGCUCAACCUCGGAACUGCCUUUGAUACUGGAGGUCUUGAGUAUGGUAGAGGUGAGUAGAAUUCCGAGUGUAGAGGUGGAAAUCGUAGAUAUUCGGAGGAACACCAGUGGCGAAGGCGGCUCACUGGUCCAUUACUAACGCUGAAGUGCGAAAGAGUGGGGAGCAAACAGG